UAAAUAUGAUGAUAGUCCCUACGAGUUGCUAAAGACACCCCUUAUGUUGCCUUCAUUGACCAUACGAUGACCCUACGCCCGUCCCUUAAACACCUCCAAGGUAAUGACUACCUAUUCCUUAAUAAUAGGGACAGUCUUACCAUUGAAAGAAUAUACGAGAACACGAAAGACUUAAUCUAGGGUAGGUAUCUCAUAGUUACUUGCUCACACUUUUCAAAAUUACUUUUACA
rnacentral:lncRNA from 1 species